rnacentral:rRNA from 1 species
GACGAACGCUGGCGGCGUGCCUAAUACAUGCAAGUCGAACGAAGUGGCGAACGGGUGAGUAAUACGUGAGUAACCUGCCCUCCUUUUUGGGAUAAGCCUUGGAAACUGGGUCUAAUACCGAAUAAAGGGGGAUGGGCUCGCGGCCUAUCAGCUUGGUGGGGGGGUGAGGGCCUCCCAAGGCGGUGACGGGUAGCCGGCCUGAGAGGGUGACCGGACAAAUUGGAACGGAGAUACGGCCCAGACUCUUACGGGAGGCAGAAGUGGGGGAUAGUGCACAAUGGGCGAAAGCCGGAUGCAGCGACGCCGCGUGGGGGAUGAAGGCGUUCGGGUUGUAAACCUCUGUCGCUAUCGACCGGGUAGGUGGAGAAGAAGCGCCGGCUAACUACGUGCCAGCCGCCGCGGUAAUAC